rnacentral:rRNA from 1 species
GAUGAACGCUGGCGGCGUGCCUAAUACAUGCAAGUCGAGCGAACAGACGAGGAGCUUGCUCCUCUGACGUUAGCGGCGGACGGGUGAGUAACACGUGGAUAACCUACCUAUACGACUGGGAUAACUUCGGGAAACCGGAGCUAAUACCGGAUAAUAUAUUGACCCGCAUGGUUCAAUAGUGAAAGACGGUUUUGCUGUCACUUAUAGAUGGAUCCGCGCCGCAUUAGCUAGUUGGUAAGGUAACGGCUUACCAAGGCAACGAUGCGUAGCCGACCUGAGAGGGUGAUCGGCCACACUGGAACUGAGACACGGUCCAGACUCCUACGGGAGGCAGCAGUAGGGAAUCUUCCGCAAUGGGCGAAAGCGUGACGGAGCAACGCCGCGUGAGGGAUGAAGGUCUUCGGAUCGUAAAACUCUGUUAGUAGGGAAGAACAAAUGUGUAAGUAACUAUGCACGUCUUGACGGUACCUAAUCAGAAAGCCACGGCUAACUACGUG